rnacentral:rRNA from 1 species
CCAGACUCCUACGGGAGGCAGCAGUGGGGGAUAUUGCACAAUGGGGGAAACCCUGAUGCAGCGACGCCGCGUGGGUGAAGAAGUAUUUCGGUAUGUAAAGCCCUAUCAGCAGGGAAGAAAGAAGACGGUACCUGACUAAGAAGCCCUGGCUAACUACGUGCCAGCAGCCGCGGUAAUACGUAGGGGGCGAGCGUUAUCCGGAUUCACUGGGUGUAAAGGGAGCGUAGACGGCCGUGCAAGCCAGGAGUGAAAGCCCGGGGCCCAACCCCGGGACUGCUCUUGGAACUGUGCGGCUGGAGUGCGGGAGGGGCAGGCGGAAUUCCUGGUGUAGCGGUGAAAUGCGUAGAUAUCAGGAGGAACACCGGCGGCGAAGGCGGCUUACUGGACUGUAACUGACGUUGAGGCUCGAAAGCGUGGGGAGCAAACAGGAUUAGAUACCCCAGUA